rnacentral:rRNA from 1 species
UACGUAGGGACCAAGCGUUGUUCGAUUUACUGGGCGUAAAGGGCGCGUAGGCGGCAUAUUAAGUCAGCUGUGAAAUCUCCGAGCUUAACUCGGAACUGUCAGCUGAUACUGAUGUGCUAGAGUGCAGAAGGGGCAAUCGGAAUUCUUGGUGUAGCGGUGAAAUGCGUAGAUAUCAAGAGGAACACCUGAGGUGAAGACGGGUUGCUGGGCUGACACUGACGCUGAUAGCGCGAAAGCCAGGGGAGCAAACGGG